GAAUCGUACAGGGUUUGGUUUUUGGUGCCUGACCCACUUCACUCAGCAUAAUGUCCUCCCCAUUCAUCUGUCUUGUAGCCUGUGACACUAUGUCCUUCCUCUUUAAGGCUGAUUAAUACUCCGUCGUGUAUACAGACCACGUUUCCUUUACCCGUUCAUUCGUCUGUGAACAUUUCGGCUGUGCCACCUCUUUGCUACUGUGACUGCCGCUGCAGUGAACGUGGGUGUGCAAAUACCCCUUUGAGAUCUUGCUUUCAGUCCUUUUGGGUAUAGACCCAGAGAUGGGGUGGCUGGAAGCUGGGGUAGUUUUAUCUAACUUUCUGAGGACCCUCCGUACUGUUUUCCCCAGCGGCUGCACCAGUUUGCGUUACCACCAAGCGCACACGAGGGUUCCCCUUUCUCCACGUCCUCGCCAGCACUUGUGAUUGUCUUUUCAAUCGUGUCUGUCCUGACAGCGAUGAGGUGGUAGCUCUUUGGGCUUUGGGUUUGCAUUUCCCUGAUAAUGAGCGAUGUUGAGCAUCUUCUCCUGUGCCUGUGUGCCGUUGGUAAAUCUCCUUUGGAGAAACGUCUUAUUCAAGCCCUUGGCCCAUUUGAAAUCGGAUUGUUUUGUUGUUGAGUUGUAGGAGCUCUUUACAUAUUCUGGGUAUUAACUUUCUUUCUUUUUUUUUAAGUAGGCUCCAUGCCCAGCGUGGAGCCCGACAUGGGGCUCAAUAUCACAACCCUGAGAUCUUGACCUGAGCCGAAAUCAAAGGUUGGAUGCUUACCCGACUGAGCCAUCCAGGAACCCUGGAUGUUUGCUCCUGGAGCAGAGGCCUGGGCCGUCACUCAGCCUGGAAGCCGGUGAGUUGGGGCAAAAGGAAGGGGGAGCAGGGGGCUGUCCCCUCACCAGGUUGCCUCCCUUCCAGAGGCCCCAGGCUGGAGGAAGACCCAGAUUCGGGGCUGGAUCCCAGUGUGGUCCCAGGGCCCACGAAGUUAAAAGUGUGUGAUGAUAAUGCUAAGAUACUCUUGUCCUGUGUGUUUCCCUCACACGAGUGUGCGCUGGAGUUUUCCAGACUCUGCCUGAUGCAGUACAGAAGGGAUUGAAUGUGAAAGGGAGGAGAACCCAGCUGUCUUCUGCUAGACUCUUGUGUUCUGUUAUAGCAAACACGUAACUAAGUGCCACUCUUUUCAUCAAAAUAGAGCUGUUUUUCAUAACCAUGCUAUUUAUGCUAACAGAAAACGUGAUUGUUA
rnacentral:lncRNA from 1 species